rnacentral:rRNA from 1 species
AGUGAACGCUGGCGGCAGGCCUAAUACAUGCAAGUCGAACGGCAGCACAGCAGAGCUUGCUCUGUGGGUGGCGAGUGGCGGACGGGUGAGGAAUACAUGGGAAUCUGCCCAGUCGUGGGGGAUAACGUAGGGAAACUUACGCUAAUACCGCAUGCGCCCUUCGGGGGAAAGCCGGGGACCUUCGGGCCUGGCGCGAUUGGAUGAGCCCAUGUCGGAUUAGCUAGUUGGCGGGGUAAUGGCCCACCAAGGCGACGAUCCGUAGCUGGUCUGAGAGGAUGAUCAGCCACACUGGAACUGAGACACGGUCCAGACUCCUACGGGAGGCAGCAGUAGGGAAUAUUGGACAAUGGGCGCAAGCCUGAUCCAGCCAUGCCGCGUGAGUGAAGAAGGCCCUCGGGUUGUAAAGCUCUUUUGUCCGGAAAGAAAAGCGCCGGGUUAAUACCCUGGUGUCCUGACGGUACCGGAAGAAUAAGCACCGGCUAACUUCGUGCCAGCAGCCG